rnacentral:rRNA from 1 species
GAUGAACGCUGGCGGCGUGCCUAAUACAUGCAAGUCGAGCGAAUGGAUUAAGAGCUUGCUCUUAUGAAGUUAGCGGCGGACGGGUGAGUAACACGUGGGUAACCUGCCCAUAAGACUGGGAUAAAUCCGGGAAACCGGGGCUAAUACCGGAUAAUAUUUUGAACUGCACGGUUCAAAAUUGAAAGGCGGCUUCGGCUGUCACUUAUGGAUGGACGCGCGUCGCCUUAGCUAGGUGGUGAGGUAACGGCUCACAAAGGCAACGAUGCGUAGCCGACCUGGGAGGGUGGUCGGCCACACUGGGACUGGGACACGGCCCAGACUCCUACGGGAGGCAGCAGUAGGGAAUCUUCCGCAAUGGACGAAAGUCUGACGGAGCAACGCCGCGUGAGUGAUGAAGGCUUUCGGGUCGUAAAACUCUGUUGUUAGGGAAGAACAAGUGCUAGUUGAAUAAGCUGGCACCUUGACGGUACCUAACCAGAAAGCCACGGCUAGCUACGUGCCAGCCGCCGCCGUAA